rnacentral:rRNA from 1 species
UCGGGAAUUUUGGGCAAUGGGCGAAAGCCUGACCCAGCAACGCCGCGUGAAGGAUGAAAUCUUUCGGGAUGUAAACUUCGGAAGAAUAGGAAGAAUAAAAUGACGGUACUAUUUUUAAGGUCCGGCUAACUACGUGCCAGCAGCCGCGGUAAUACGUAGGGACCAAGCGUUGUUCGGAUUUACUGGGCGUAAAGGGCGCGUAGGCGGCGUAAUAAGUCACUUGUGAAAUCUCCGGGCUUAACUCGGAGCGGCCAAGUGAUACUGUUAGGCUAGAGUGCAGAAAGGGCAAUCGGAAUUCUUGGUGUAGCGGUGAAAUGCGUAGAUAUCAAGAGGAACACCUGAGGCGAAGGCGGGUUGCUAGGCUGACACUGACGCUGAGGCGCGAAAGCUAGGGUAGCAAACGGGAUUAGAUACCCAAGUAGUCCCUGAGCGGGCUGGCAAGGCGCAU